rnacentral:snoRNA from 1 species
UUGCAUGUGGAAAACGUCUUCUGCUCAUUUCUUUUGGGCGAAGAUAUAUCCUUACAUGCUAACUUUUAAAAAGGAGUUCACAGGGGCUGCCAACCUUACACUAGAGGUUGGAUAGUUCGUAAUAUUCUUCUAUAAUA